rnacentral:rRNA from 1 species
GAUGAACGCUGGCGGUAUGCUUUACACAUGCAAGUCAUACGGAAGUUAGUUUCGGCUAACUUCAGUGGCGGACGGGUGAGUAACACGUGAGAAUUCGCCUUUAGGAGGGGGAUAACAGGGGGAAACACCUGCUAAAACCCCAUAUGCCUUCGGGUCAAAAGAGAAAUCUGCCUAAAGAGAAGCUCGCGGCUGAUUAGCUAGUUGGUGGGGUAAAGGCCUACCAAGGCGACGAUCAGUAGCUGGUCUGAGGGGAUGAUCAGCCACACUGGAACUGAGACACGGUCCAGACUCCUACGGGAGGCAGCAGUGAGGAAUUUUCUGCAAUGGGCGAAAGCCUGACAGAGCAAUACCGCGUGAGGGAAGAAGGCUUACUGAGUUGUAAACCUCUGUUACCUAAGGAGGAAGAUCUGACGUUACUUAGGAGACGAAGCAUCGGCUAACUCCGUGCCAGCCGCCGCAGUAAGAC